rnacentral:rRNA from 1 species
GACGGAAGGUGCAAGCGUUGCUCGGAAUCACUGGGCGUAAAGGGUGCGUAGGCGGCCUGGUAAGUCUGGCGUGAAAGCCCCCCGGCUCAACUGGGGAGGGUCACGCGAUACUGAUCGACUCGAAGGCAGGAGAGGGUAGUGGAAUUCCCGGUGUAGUGGUGAAAUGCGUAGAUAUCGGGAGGAACACCAGUGGCGAAGGCGACUACCUGCCUGUUUCUUGACGCUGAACGGCGAAAGCUAGGGGAGCAAACGGG